rnacentral:rRNA from 1 species
AACGAACGCUGGCGGCGUGUUUAAGACAUGCAAGUCGCACGGGAUUGGUUGAGUAGCAAUACAAGAUUGGUCCAGUGGCGCACGGGUGAGUAACACGUGAAUGACAUGCCCUUCAGUGGGGGAUAGCCCAGGGAAACUUGGAUUAAUACCCCAUGGUCUCGCGAGAGUAAAGGUGGCGCAAGCUGCCGCUGGAGGAUUGGUUCGCGUUCUAUCAGCUUGUUGGCGGGGUAACGGCCCACCAAGGCUACGACGGAUACCUGGUCUGAGAGGACGAUCAGGCACACUGGAACUGAGACACGGUCCAGACACCUACGGGUGGCAGCAGUCGAGAAUAAUUCACAAUGGGGGCAACCCUGAUGGUGCAACGCCGCGUGGAGGAUGAAGGUCUUCGGAUUGUAAACUCCUGUCAUCCGGGAGCAAGACCUGGCGGUCAAUAACCGACAGGGUUGAUAGUACCGGAAGAGGAAGGGACGGCUAACUUCGUGCCAGCCGCCGCCGUAAAAC